rnacentral:lncRNA from 1 species
GAAUGACUCACGAAUGAUGAGGAUAGCACGGGGUGCUGGCCGUCCAAUUAGAGAUGUAAUGGAAAUGUUGGAAGAGUACAAGCGACUUGCUAAAGUCUGGAGCAAAAUGAAGGGGCUUAAGAUUCCGAAGAAGGGUGAGAUGAGUUCCCUGUCUAGAAACAUGAAUGCACAGCACAUGAGCAAAGUCCUCCCUCCACAGAUGCUGAAGCAGAUUGGUGGCAUGGGUGGUUUGCAAAACUUAAUGAAGCAAAUGGGAUCAGCUAAAGACAUGAUGGGCAUGUUUGGAGGCGGGGACAAGUAAACGUGUGAUUGCCAACAACUACAUGAAAUGAAUUCCCAUGACAAUAACCUAGGUCUGUCAGGAGGAUGGUAAGCUGCGUGGAGUGUUUAAUAUAUGCAAGUCGAUGCUUCAACAAAACUUUGUGGAUACUUGUUCUUAAAGGAUCAAUGCAUUUGAUUCAAUUCUCAGAUCCCCCCUCCCCUGCUGGUACAGACUACAGAGGCCGUCUUGUAGCAAUAACUGGAUUUAUCUUUUUUCUUUGGGCACCAAAAAAUGUGGAAAAAAAGGGUUUGAGGUCAUGAAGCUGUGAAAAAAAAGUUGGUUUUACGUCAUUAAGUACAAAAAUUACGUAAUUCACCGUUAUAGCAGAAAUGUUGCUGAGAAUAUUGCAUUUGACACUUAAAAUUUGCCUGCGAUCUAUGCACGACUUCUUCGCACAUUAUAUGUUGGUUUAAUCACUAAUGGGUGACUAGGGCAUCUUUCCUGUCCUGUGAACAUGGUCGAAUGCAAUCUGCCAAGACUGAGAAGCAGUGACUAAAAGUAAUGGACGCCAUGUACCUCCGGAUUGCUCGAGACCUUAUAUGUAUCGCGCAAGCGGCUGCCCAAAAGAAUUGUUACAAUGGCGGCUCUGUUAUAUUCACGGUCAAUUCUCAAGCAGGUUAUCGACACUUUGCAGUAAAAAAGCUCCUGUACGGAAAAGUAUAAUCUAUUAAUGUUUCUUGGGUCGGCAAUGACCUAUGAGCAAGCCCUCCGAGUCGGUGUCCCCUAGUUAGGUGUAGUUUGAUUGUUCUUGGAAAGUGGUCUGGCUUUCUUAACGAAUGGCUUCAAUCAGUCGAAUGUACCUACAACUAUACUCGUCGAAAUCAAAGAACUUUGGGCCCAAAAAUUUGAACUUGUUUCGACUAGUUUCAUAAUGAUUUCUGAAAAUUUAAUGGACAGUGAAAAAGCCCUCAUGCUAGAAGAUCUGUUAUCAUCUUCAUGCACAAGUCUUAUGCGGUUAUGCCCUUGUUUGACUUAAAAGUGAGUGUUCUGACGAUGCCGGCGUAGUCAUGAGGAUGAUCGAAGGACAGGAGGCAACAACAGGGCAUAUUUUAGCUUGUUAUAAAUGAUCAAAUAGGGAAAACAUGAAAGCAGAAAAGGUAGAAUAAUCCAUGUAUCUUCAAAUAUUUUCUACGCUCCAGAUUCCUUAUUUCUCAAUGCAUCCCGAAACACAUAUCAGCAGGCAAAUUGCCCUGUGAUCUAUUUCUGACAAAAGGCAAACUUCGUAAUUAAAUACACAAAUAUAGUAAAUGGAGUACAAAAUGUGAUAUAGGGGUGUUCCUAAUGAUAUAUUCCUGACAAAAUGUAAACUUGGUAAAUACACAAAUACAGUAUCAAACUUACUAAAUUCACUACACAAAUUCAGUAUAUGAUGCAAGGGGAUGUCUCUAUUCUUCUUAGGGAGAUUACAGACAAGCAAAAUUCCCUAAAUUUAGAGAAAAGGUGAAUCAUAAAGACACAGGAUGAGAAAAACCAGAGAACUCAUAGGGAAGACGGUAUAGUAACCUAGGUUUUAACAUCAUCACCGAUGAAUUCUCCUCUUGCAUCCCAAGGACGAUUUUCAAAAGACUUUCCAAGGAUGCUGCGCUUCUCAUUUACAGACCCAUCUUCGCAGCGAUAUUCUGGAAAGUAAUCCAAAAACCCUUUACUUCCUAGUUCAUCAAGUCCAUUGAAGAGGAAGUCUCUAACCAAGUCCUAUAGAGCAGAUGUGAAUUAAGAACUGCGUCAGCAAUUAGUUGCAAAUAAUGGAUAACAGAUCCAGUAAGUUGAGAGUGAUACCUGUGCAUGCCUUUCUCCAAUCAACCUUUUAAGAAUUCCAUGGCCGGGAUCCUGCUUCCAGAAUUUACAUUAGCCAAAUAUGCUGGGCCAGAAAUGAGAGAAGUUUGAAAAGGUGCCAAAUAUUUAUCUGCUCAAACAUUGUAAUUAUGCAAUUGCACUGCAUAAAUGAUACUGUAAUUAAAGAAUUUCACUAUAGAUAUCUACCUGAAGGCACCAAUAUGCCUUGUCAGGUGAGAGUCCAAGACAAAGUAUGAGUUUGGAUAGGACCCUAAUGAUAGCAAUUCUAGCUACCAAGUUGAUUCUUUUCAGCCCUUUUAUUUUCAAAAACUGGGUAACCAGAAGUUUAUCCUGCCUGAAAUCUAAAAUCCCUCUUCAAGAUGCUAGUUGUUCGAACAACGUUUUGCAGUUGAGAGCAUCUAUUCAUUUUAUUCCAAAUGAAUCGCGAGGCUAAUUAAAAUAACAUAGAAAACAAGUAUUUUUCUUUCUUUCACCUCAAGGAACCAAAUUUCCUUUGUUUUACCUCAUCAUAAUCUGGAUGUUCAAAAUAUUAGGGGUCAAGGGUAUGAUGGUGCUAGUAAUAUGCGUGGAGAGUGAAAUGGUUUUCAAGCUUUAUUCAUUAAUGAUUGCCCUUAUGCAUAUUAUGUACAUUGCUUAGCUCAUCAAUUAUAAUUGGCUCUUAUUGCUGCAGCUAGAGAAAUAUCUGAUGUUCACACUUUCUUUCAGAAUUUGAUUUUUAUUAUUAACAUUGUUAGUGCUUCUUGUAAGCGUAAUGAUGAAUUACGGGCUUUUCAAGCAGCUACAAUUGAAUAUUUAGUUGAUAUUUGUGAGAUUGAAACGGGUAAAAGAGUUAAUCAAGUAGGUGGUUUGCAACGACCUGAAGAUAGCAGAUGGAGUUUGCACUUCAAAUCAAUUUGCAGUUUGAUAAAAAUGUAUGGGGCAACUUGCUUGGUUUUUGAAAACAUUGCUUUAAAUGGAUCUACUUAUUCUCAACGUGGUGAUGCGGCCUUUUCAUUUAAGUUGCUAAUGUCAUUUGAUUUUGCAUUCAUCUUGCAUAUAAUGAAGGAUGUUAUGGGAAUUACUGAUAUGCUUUGCCAAGCUCUGCAACAAAAAUCUCAAGACAUUUUAAAUGCUAUGCAUUUAGUGACUACCACAAAGACUUUAAUUCAGAAGUUAAGAGAUGAUGGUUGGAAAACUCUUUUAGAAGAAGUGACAUCAUUUUGUAAGCAUCAAGACAUUGAAGUUCCUGAUAUGGAUGCUUGUUUUUCUAGUGUGGGACGAUCUCGCCGUAAACAAAAAUUAGUAACAGUUGAACAUCACUACCGAGUUGAUAUAUUUACAGCUAUCAUUGAUCAACAAUUGCAAGAGCUAAAUAAUAGAUUCAAUGAGCAGGCAAUCGAGCUUCUUAAGUUGAGCACAACUUUAGAUCCUAGAAAUAGCUAUAAAUUAUUCAAUGUUGAAGAUAUAUGCUUACUUGUUGACAAGUUUUAUCCUCAUGAUUUUUCUGACCAAGAAAAAAUUCAUUUGAGACUUCAGUUGCAGCAUUAUGAGCUUGAUGUACCCAAUCAUCCAAAGUUAAAGAGCAUGUCAUCGAUUGCUGAUUUAUGUAAAGGACUGGUUAAAACAGGAAAAUCAACAAUUUAUCCACUAGUUGACAGGUUGAUUCGGCUUAUUUUGACUCUUCCUGUUUCGACAGCAACUACUGAACGAGCUUUCUCAGCGAUAAAGAUUGUUAAAACAAGACUUCGUAGUCGGAUGGAGGAUGAUUUUCUUGCAAAUUAUUUGAUUGUCUAUAUAGAAAAAGAAAUUGCUGAAAGAUUCACAAUUGAUAUGAUAAUCGAUGAUUUCUAUUAUAUGAAAGAACGACGAGCACAAUUAAAAUAAAUAUGUAAGAAUCAUUCUUUAUUAUUUUUUACUUUAUUUCAAAGUUUAUCAAACAUAAAUAAUGCUUCGCUUUAGCUAAUGUUUCUUUUGUACUUUGUAUGUUUAUAUUUGAUAGGUAUAAAGACCAACAACAUUAAAGUGAUGGAUACAUCAUGAAUAUGGAAUUAACUUCAUUGCUUUGACUGAAUUCGGUAUUGCUCCAAAUCUUUUACCUUAUACAAAGGUCAUUAUAUGUUUGUAAUAAGUUAUUUGAAUAAAACUAAAUAAUGCCGGUUUUUUUUUACAACUCAUGUAUAAUAAAUUAAAACAAAUAUUAUAUAUUGUUAUAUUAUUUUUAGCCACCUCUAACAAAUAAUCCUAGCUCUGCCCCUGCCUCCAUCCUUUCUAUUCAAGUGUUUAUGUUUUCAAAUGUUUAUAGUAGUGCUUUUAAUUUUAAAAGCUAACAAAUAUCCAAUUUGUAAUCCUAUGGAGGUCGUAUUUGACCAAGUUUGGUAAAAUUAGUAACAUGAAAUGAAAAUAAUAUUAAAAAAUGCAUGAAAAGAAGAUGAAAAAAAAAAAAAGGUUUCGAAAUAGAUUGCUAUGAAUUCUUGUAUGGAUUUUUUUGACAAAUGAGAUCAAAGAUUUUAUUGAGAAAUCGGUACACAUCUAUAAAACUAUACCAAAAAAAUCCAGCUUUUUUGUAUUUAAAAUUAUCAAUUUUGUAAAAAUAAUUAUUUUCUCACCUUUUAAAAUUAGAGGUGCAGAUUUGUCUGGCUUGCGAUAAAGUGGACAAAACUGAGCUUAUAUGAGUUUUUGUACCUUUUUUUUAUUAUUUGGGCAAAUUACAUUAUCACUCCAUGGUUCGAGCACGGUAACACUUUUCAUCAGUGAAAAUUAGAUGUGAGUGAAAAUAUUAAAAAAUUGAUUAAAUUGAGAAAAUUAAAAAAAAAAUUAAGUAAAAAAACUGAAUUAUGAAAAAAAAUCGAUUAAAAUUUUAAAAAAAUCAACCGGUUAGAUUUGGUUUCGAUUUUAUAAGCUUGAAACCGAAAGAACCGAAUCGAACCCAAACCGAAAAAAUGAGCCAAAACCGAGCCAAAUCGGAAAAAAACCGAGCCAAUCCAAAAAACCAACCCGAAACCGGUCGGUUUGAACCGGUUUUUGUCCAAAAAACCAAACCGAAACCGGUCGGUUUGAACCGGUUUUGGUUCGGUUUAGGUUUUUUUUAAAAAAAUUUAAUUUGAUGACUUUUUUUUUAUAUAAAAACUGAACCGAAUAAAAAAUGAUCAUCCCUAAUAAAAAUACCUGUAAAAAAUUACUUAAUAAUUGAAAUUUCUAAGAAUCUGGAUUUAUUUUUUUUUGAAAAAAAUUAGAUUAUAUUAUUUAUAAUGAAAAAUCUAUUCAUAUUAACAUGGGCAUAACAACUUGAGAGAAAUAUAUUAGGGAAAUGGGUCUCACACAAGAAUAUCAUAGAAACAAUAAAAAAUGUAGAGAACUAGAGGAGAUUCUUAUGAUUAGAUAAAUAAUAGAUUAAAUCAUUUACCCACAAAAUAUAUUUCCUUCUUUUAUUACAAAAUACAAGAAAACCCACCGAAGAGAGGCACUCAAAUGCUCGUAUACUGAUAAUACAAACUUUUUGAUAGAAAAUUUCUAGCAUGGAUACAAACACUGAUUUUUGAGCAAAUCCCCGAGGAGUCUUGACGCGAUCGCACUCUCACCGUCCGAUGCAUUAGACACUUCGUCGAUCUUUCUAAAGGAAAGUCAGAUGAGGAUAAUUUAUUUGGGAUUGUAAUAUGGUUUAAUAUAUUUUUAAUUUAUAAAUAUAUUAAAAUAAUAUUUUUUUUAUUUUUUAAAAAUUACUUUUUAAGAUUAAUACGUCAAAAUAAUAUAAAAAUAUAUAUAAAAAAUAAUUUUUAACAAUUUUUUUUUUAAAUUAAAAAAAACACAAUUUACUCCAAGUUAUUAAACUUAACUUUAUAUUCCUAUAAAAACUGAGUCUAUGCAUUACUCCUUACAAGACCUUGUCAGCUACAAAAUAUCCAGCUAAUUAUUUUUUAAUAUAUAUUUUUACUUAAUAAUAUAUAAUUUUUAUUUUUUAAAAUUUAUUUUUAAAAUCAAUAUAAUACAAAAUUAUAAAAAUAAUUUUUAAAUAAAAAAACCAACACACUCUAAAUAAAUUAAUCCAAAUAAAUUUAAAAUAAAAUUAAUUUUUUUAGAAUUUUAAGUAGGUUAUGAAUUAUUGUAUUGCUCGAACUAGAUCUAGGAUAUUUGAAAGUGUGAUAUUAAUUGUUUUUUAAAGUAUUUUUUACUUAUAAAUGUAUCAAAAUAAUAUAUAUUUUUUAUUUUUUAAAAUUUAUUUUUAAUAUUAAGAAAUUAAAAUAAUUUAAAAAAAUAUAUUUAAAUUUUCAUGAAAAGUAAGUUGAAGUGUUCACGGGGAUACGUAUUUUUCAUCUUGUUUUUUCUUCAAAUCAAUUCAUUAAUAUAUUACUGUACAAACUCGUCUUUUCAUUAAGACAGAAAAAAAAACCCAAACAAAUUCACUCUUUCCAUCCAUCCCUCUUGCUUCCUCUGAAAUUCACCAAAGACAAACCCUAAUCUCCAAAAUCAUCCCAUCCGUCUCCUCCAAUAAAAAAAAUUGAACCUGUGGAACUGAAAAAAGAAAGCAAAAAUGGUGUUGGCGCAGUUAGGAGGGAGCAUAUCCCGAGCAAUCCAGCAAAUGAGCAAUGCAACAAUCAUCGACGAGAAAGCAUUAAACGACUGCUUGAACGAGAUCACUCGCGCGCUUCUUCAAUCCGAUGUCCAAUUCAAGCUUGUUCGCGACAUGCAAACUAAUAUCAAGAAAAUCGUCAAUCUCGACGAUCUCGCUGCCGGUCACAACAAGCGCAGAAUCAUCCAACAAGUAAUUAUCUUUUAUUUUAUUAUUUUUCAAAAAAUAAACACAAUUUUAUUUAACUUUAAAUUUAACGAGUUCAAUAUUUUUAGGCGAUAUUUAACGAGCUCUGCAAGAUUUUGGACCCAGGGAAGUCCUCAUUUACCCCAAAGAAGGGGAAAACUAGUGUUGUUAUGUUUGUAGGUUUACAAGGUAAUUUAUUUUAGAUAAUAAUAAAACUUUCAUUUCAAUUUCUGUGCUCUUGGAUUUAUGAUAUUUAUUUAGAGAAAACAUGUAAUGGAAUUUAAUUGUUUAGGGUCUGGAAAAACGACGACGUGUACAAAAUACGCUUAUUAUCAUCAGAAAAAAGGAUGGAAACCCGCCCUCGUUUGCGCUGAUACGUUUAGAGCUGGUGCAUUUGAUCAGUUAAAGCAGAAUGCAACUAAAGCUAAAAUUCCAUUUUAUGGAAGGUAAGUGAUUUUUAAGUGGAGGAGAAUAAAAAAAUGGGUUUUCUGUAAUGCGAUCAAUUAUUGACUUCUUGUUGUUGAUACAGCUAUACGGAAUCGGAUCCUGUAAAAAUAGCUGAGGAAGGUGUAGAAACAUUUAAGAAGGAAAAUUGUGAUCUUAUAAUUGUUGAUACAAGUGGACGUCAUAAACAGGAAGCUGCACUUUUUGAAGAAAUGCGUCAAGUUUCAGAAGCAACUGUCUGUUAUUCUCUUAUUAGUUGUUUUGCAUGUUAUUGAUUGUUAUUGCACUGAAAUUUGAUCCCGUUUCAUUCCGUGUCUUCCAGAAACCGGAUCUUAUUAUAUUUGUUAUGGAUAGCAGUAUUGGUCAAGCUGCAUUUGAUCAAGCUCAAGCUUUUAAGCAAAUGGUUGCAGUUGGAGCUGUGAUUAUUACUAAAAUGGAUGGUCAUGCAAAGGGUGGUGGUGCGCUUAGUGCGUGAGUAAUCUGGCAGUUGUUCUAGUGUACCAAAACUUCCUCUUGCUUAAGGCAUUUAUAUUGAUUUCUGGUUUACAAACCAUGUGCAGAGUUGCAGCAACUAAGAGUCCUGUCAUUUUUAUUGGUACUGGAGAGCAUAUGGAUGAGUUCGAAGUCUUUGAUGUUAAACCUUUUGUUAGUCGCCUUUUAGGUAUCCACUUCUUUCAGUUUGACACCUUUGCUUUGAUGUUCUACUUUCCUCUGAAAUUUGUAUGAUUGUUUUUGAUGCCCGUAGUGUUCACAUUAUUAUGAUCUUCCAAUUAGGCAUGGGUGACUGGUCUGGAUUCAUGGACAAAAUUCAUGAGGUUGUUCCCAUGGAUCAACAGCCCGAGCUUCUACAAAAGCUGUCAGAAGGGAACUUUACCUUAAGGAUUAUGUAUGAGCAAUUCCAGAAUCUACUAAAAAUGGGUCCCAUUGGUCAGGUUCUCUACUCACUAUUUUGUUUAUUGAAUCUCUGUUAGAGAGUGUUCUACUUCAAGUAUUCAUCUCAAAUGUGUGUGUAUGGUAGGGAAAAAAACAAUAAUUUUGAUCAGAACUUCCUUGUGACUGAUAAUAAGUGUGCUAGUUUAUAGACAGUUGCAUACCUAUUGGCACUGCAUGUGUUUAGAGAAAAUCAACAUCUUUGAAGAGAGUUUCCGUGAUCUUUCGUUAAUUCCUAAACAUGGAUUUUCUAUCUUCUUCUUCUUCUUAGCUUUUUCUUGUUUCAGCAUGCAGAUAGUUGCUAAUUAUCAUGCAAAGCUUUAGUAAAACAUGAGUUUUUUUCUUUCCUCUUGAUGAGGAAUUGAUGGCAUUGGCAGUUGAUACAGAAUGGAAGUACAAGGCAUUUAAUUUGUUUAUUUAGUGAUAGGCUUAGGUGGAAAAACUGUUUAACCUCCCUAAUUUCAUCUGCUUACCAUUCAAAUGAGGAAGAGAGAUGAUAAGUUUCCUGGGAAUAUGGAUCAUUUUUCCUAUGUCAAAUUAAACCUUGAAGUGGCUUCUGAGUGAAUCUGCAAAUACCUUCUGAGUUUUUAUAUGUAUUAAUUUAAGGAAUUUGUAAGUUGGAUACUCGUGAUUGCUUAUCAGAGCUUGUUAGGAUUUUACCUCACACAACAAUUUCAACCGGAAUAAUUAUGGAUGCUUAAUUCAUUUAAUUUUGAAGGAACUGGUGCCGUUAGAGAAACUCAUAGUCAAUAGUAUUGGCUGUUAAUUGGCUCUUAAAUUUCAAAUGAAAAGCGAGAAGUGACAUGAAUAUUUCCUUGCCUAGGAUGGUCCUAAGGGUUACCUGGUCAACUAAUUCAUUGCACCGGAAAAUUCAAAUUUUGUGGAUCACUAAUUACUUAUAAGAAUAAAUGAAAUAAAAUAAAAGGUUAACCUGUGAGCUUGUAGCUUAGUGGUAUUCCUGCACAAGCAGGUAGGGUGAGGUCUCAAGUUUGAGUCCCACCUUUGUAAAUUUAACUUAAAUAAAAAUUGGAAGACACUUUUAAUAAAAGGUUCAUGCAACUGUAAAAUAUGGAUUGUGAUCAGAUACUUUUAUCAUUUUUGACAUUUUUGCGUUACACUCUCCUGCAUUUAGAAUAUGAGAAUUGGAGUAGACUGAAAAGAGAUCUAUCAGAAGUCAAUAAGAUGAACCCACCAUUAAGAAGCGAGCUUUUCCCUUCGUUUGUCUCUGGUCAUCAUGAUGCACAUCAACACCCUCGUAUUUCAUAACAGAUGGUUCUCAAGAUGAUACGAGUUGUACCAGUAUCUAACACAUAUUUUAACAUCAUAGCGAUUCUUAUGGUCAUUUCAAAUAUUUUGCCUAGCUUAGAUACAGGUCCAAUUAAUUUGUUGUCAGCAUAUUUUAACAUCUUGUUUAACAAGAAUACCUUUCGUCAAGAAUACCUCGGAAAGUGAACAAGAUGAAAAAUGACAGAAAUUAUGAGGGAGGACAAUAAUGCCUAUGAGAGAGAAAGGAGAAGAUGAGUGAGGAAGUAUGGCAGACAAGGAGAAGAUAACUGAGAAAGUAUGGUAGACUAAGAUAGCUUACAAUCUGUCACCGAUUAACAUUUUAUAGUUUUUUUGUGAAUUUUCUAUUUGCUGAAAUGUUAUGAAUUUGGUAAAGGAAGUAGUAAACUAUGGCCUCGACUUAGGUAAUGAAAUCUCAAGAGUAUUGAUUUUACUGUUUCCAUCUUGACUGAAUUUUUUAUUUAUUUAUGGUCCCAUCACCUUUCUCCCCCUUCCCUAUUUUGGGUUGUGACUUUCACUUUAAUACUAUUCGGGUCACCUUCUGUAGGUAUUUUCAAUGCUUCCUGGGUUUAGUGCUGAAUUAAUGCCAAAAGGUCAUGAAAAGGAAAGCCAGGCUAAGAUUAAGCGAUACAUGACCAUGAUGGAUUCAAUGACUAAUGAAGGUGAGUGAGUGCUGCUUGACAAAUUGACAUUUAGAGCAUUGCAUUGCCUCAUGGAUAUACAAAACAUACUUUCUUGAAUGAAGUUAUUUGGUACUUUUGCUGAUAUCUAUUUGUCACGGAUGUGAUGCAGAGUUGGAUAGUUCAAAUCCAAAGCUCUUGAAUGACUCACGAAUGAUGAGGAUAGCACGGGGUGCUGGCCGUCCAAUUAGAGAUGUAAUGGAAAUAUUGGAAGAGUACAAGCGACUUGCUAAAGUCUGGAGCAAAAUGAAGGGGCUUAAGAUUCCGAAGAAGGGCGAGAUGAGUUCCCUGUCUAGAAACAUGAAUGCACAGCACAUGAGCAAAGUCCUCCCUCCACAGAUGCUGAAGCAGAUUGUUGGCAUGGGUGGCUUGCAAAACUUAAUGAAGCAAAUGGGAUCAGCAAAAGACAUGAUGGGCAUGUUUGGAGGCGGGGACAAGUAAACGUGUGAUUGCCAACAACUACAUGAAAUGAAUUCCCAUGACAAUAACCUAGGUCUGUCAGGAGGAUGGUAAGCUGCGUGGAGUGUUUAAUAUAUGCAAGUCGAUGCUUCAACAAAACUUUGUGGAUACUUGUUCUUAAAGGAUCAAUGCAUUUGAUUCAAUUCUCAGAUCCCCCCCCCCCCCCCCCCUGCUGGUACAGACUACAGAGGCCGUCUUGUAGCAAUAACUGGAUUUAUCCUUUUUCUUUGGGCACCAAAAAAUGUGAAAAAAAAGGGUUUUAGGUCACGAAGCUGUGAAAAAAAAGUUGGUUUUACGUCAUUAAGUACAAAAAUUACGUAAUUCACCGUUAUAGCAGAAAUGUUGCUGAGAAUAUUGCAUUUGACACUUAAAAUUUGCCUGGGAUCUAUGCACGACUUCUUCGCCAUUAUAUGUUGGUUUAAUCACUAAUGGGGGACUUGGGCUUCUUUCCUGGCCUGUGAACAUGGUCGAAUGCAAUCUGCCAAGACUGAGAAGCAGUGGCUAAAAGUUACGGACGCCAUCUACCUCCGGAUUGCUCGAGACCUUAUAUGUAUCGAGCAAGCGACUGCCCAAAAGAAUUGUUACAAUGGCGGCUCUGUUUUAUUCACGGUCAAUUCUCAAGCAUGUUAUCGACACUUUGCAGUAAAAAAGCUCCUGUACGGAAAAGUAUAAUCUAUUAAUGUUUCUCGGGUCGGCAAUGACCUCUGAGCAAGUCCUCCGAGUCAGUGUCCCCUAGUUAGGUGUAGUUUGACUGUUCUUGGAAAGUGGUCUGGCUUUCUUUACGAAUGGCUUCAAUCAGUCGAAUGUUCCUAAAACUAUACUCGUCGAAAUCAAAGAACUUUGGGCCCAAAAAUUUGAACUUGUUUCAACUAGUUUCAUAAUGAUUUCUGAAAAUUUAAUGGACAGUGAAAAAGCCCUCAUGCUAGAAGAUCUGUUAUCAUCUUCAUGCACAAGUCUUAUGCGGUUAUGCCCUUGUUUGACUUAAAAGUGAGUGUUCUGACGAUGCCGGCGUAGUCAUGAGGAUGAUCGGAGGACAGGAGGCAACAACAGGGCAUAUUUUAGCUUGUUAUAAAUGAUCAAAUAGGGAAAACAUGAACUCAGAAAAGGUAGAAUAAUCCAUGUAUCUUCAAAUAUUUUCUACGCUCCAGAUUCCUUAUUUCUCAAUGCAUUCCGAAACACAUAUCAGCAGGCAAAUUGCCCUGUGAUCUAUUUCUGACAAAAGGCAAACUUCGUAAUUAAAUACACAAAUAUAGUAAAUGGAGUACAAAAUGUGAUAUAGGGGUGUUCCUAAUGAUAUAUUCCUGACAAAAUGUAAACUUGGUAAAUACACAAAUACAGUAUCAAACUUGGUAAAUUCACUACACAAAUUCAGUAUAUGAUGCAAGGGGAUGUCUCUAUUCUUCUUAGGGAGAUUACAGACAAGCAAAAUUCCCUAAAUUUAGAGAAAAGGUGAAUCAUAAAGACACAGGAUGAGAAAAACCAGAGAACUCAUCGGGAAGACGGUAUACUAACCUAGAUUUUAAUAUCAUCACCGAUGAAUUCUCCUCUUGCAUCCCAAGGACGAUUUUCAAAAGACUUUCCAAGGAUGCUGCGCUUCUCAUUUACAGACCCAUCUUCACAGCGAUAUUCUGGAAAGUAAUCCAAAAACCCUUUACUUCCUAGUUCAUCAAGUCCAUUGAAGAGGAAGUCUCUAACCAAGUCCUAUAGAGCAGAUGUGAAUUAAGAACUGCGUCAGCAAUUAGUUGCAAAUAAUGGAUAACAGAUCCAGUAAGUUGAGAGUGAUACCUGUGCAUGCCUUUCUCCAAUCAACCUUUUAAGAAUUCCAUGGCCGGGAUCCUGCUUCCAGAAUUUACAUUAGCCAAAUAUGCUGGGCCAGAAAUGAGAGAAGUUUGAAAAGGUGCCAAAUAUUUAUCUGCUCAAACAUUGUAAUUAUGCAAUUGCACUGCAUAAAUGAUACUGUAAUUAAAGAAUUUCACUACAGAUAUCUACCUGAAGGCACCAAUAUGCCUUGUCAGGUGAGAGUCCAGGACAAAGUAUGAGUUUGGAUAGGACCCUAAUGAUAGCAAUUCUAGCUACCAAGUUGAUUCUUUUCAGCCCUUUUAUUUUCAAAAACUGGGUAACCAGAAGUUUAUCCUGCCUGAAAUCUAAAAUCCCUCUUCAAGAUGCUAGUUGUUCGAACAACGUUUUGCAGUUGAGAGCAUCUAUUCAUUUUAUUCCAAAUGAAUCGCGAGGCUAAUUAAAAUAACAUAGAAAACAAGUAUUUUUCUUUCUUUCUUUCACCUCAAGGAACCAAAUUUCUUAUAUAGUUAAUCUAAAAGGUAAUUUGGCUCAAUUUCUACCCUUCUAUUUUCUAGCAUCAAAUGAUCAUUUCUAAUCUCUGAAGUUCAAUUCAAGGGCUUCAAAAGCUUAUUACUGCCCAGUUGAUUGGCACUCAAAUUAUAGUUACAUAACAUACUUGAAACAUUUCAAAGGAAGAAAAGUAGAGAAAUGAAGACAUGCUAUGAUCACUUCAAGCAUCUGUGCUUUUAGAAGUCCAAUAGCCGAUCAUGAGAGACUGACAGAUAUGAUGGUUCACAUGAAAUAAGGUAAGAGGAGAUCAAAAGGGGAAAAGGACAUCAAAUAAUCACCUUUUCUGCUCUCCAUGUUAGAUACUUAUGCUGCGCUUCACGAUUGCAUUUAAUAUAAGAUGCAUCUAUCUCCUCUGGUGCUUGGGCAAUCAAUUCAAGCCAUGCCUAAAAGAGAACAGGAUAAUAAUAAUUGACCAGCUCAAAUUGGAGUUUUACAUUUUAUUUCAAAUAUGAACUACCAAAUCCAUGCCGAUUCUCAUUCCAACUCCAGUUUAUAUCUCAUCAUUAGCAUAUUAGCUUAAAUGUAACAUAAACAAGCAGCUAAAACCAUUAAGCAACCUUGUAGUACUCUUUGAAAGCAGAAUAUAAACAUUCAUAUCUAUCCUGACUCGGAGGAAACUUGGUCCAUAUCACGAUCGGCGAGAAAAACUUCAAGGACUCGCUUGUGAGCUUUCCUCCCCAAGGAAAAAGCUGCAUGAAAUCUGUGUUCAGUCACUAUACCAUUGAUUUUAGAUUGGAUCAGGAAACAAACAAGUCAUGUCUAUUUGAUGUUCCAUGAGAAAGCAUUUAAGUUACCUCGCUAUACCUGAGACCUAAAGGAAUUAAUCUCUUAAAGUACUUUUCCUUGUAGUUUCUUUGGUCAAUGACAUUGUGCAAGGGGUUGAGGUCCCUACAAUGGGUUAGCAGUUCCAGAAACCUUAGUGCUUUGGUAAUAAGUUCCAGCUUAAAGAAAUAAGAUUUUAUGUUGAUGCCACAAAACGAGCUGGGAUGGUGGGGGGGAUGGUGGUUGAUAGCUGAAACAAGCAGCAAAAAAAGGCAUGCAUGCAGAUCAAAACAGAAAGUGGGAACAUCCUAUGGUGCCAGUGAAACAGUAGAGAGAACUGAAUCUCCAAAUGAUGAGCUUCAUUUCUUUUCCUUGCUCCACAUCAGAUUUGCAUAAAUAAAUUAUCAAGAGAAACUCUGAGCAAUAGAAUGAAAAUACAAAGCUGAACAAGAAACUAAAAACCCAAACAGAAGCAGAAAAAGCUUCCAUAUAUAUAUAUAUAUAUAUAUAUAUAGAAUAUUAAAACAGGAUUAGAAAAGCACAGAGAAAGGAAGAGAAGAGAGCUUACAACACAAUGAUGUUCAUGGUAGCAGUGGUGAAAAAGUUGGCACAAAAUAUGGGUACAUCAAAUUCAGGUCUGGAAAAAACAGCAAAAUCCAAAAUCUGCACAAAUUUUCAGAAGUCAGUUAUUACAGAUGAAAACAAAAAUGCUCAAUGUCUCCAUGCAGCCAAAGAAUUUUUGUAGUGCUAGAAAAUGUGCCUGUAACUGUGUUUGCAAUCCUGGAAGCUCAUGGAAGCACAAAUUCCUUUUUGACGAGAUCAUAAGUCAUAGGAAAAGUUGGGAGAAACUAAAAUGGAGGGAAUGAGAAAAAGAAUUUAACAUGAAUAGGACAAGCGCAUGUAGCACAAGCGCUGCCAUGAGCCUUGUGAUGAAAAAACCUAAAUAAGAAUGAAUGGAAUUCUGAAGAAGUUUAAUUAUUUCCUUUAGAAGGUUAUGUUAUAAUCAUAACACAUAUGCCAGUGAUAAUUAAGGCCAAGUACAAGAGAUAGUUUUUACGCUGGCAGGUAAAUGAACGCACACAAAGCCCGAUAACGAAAAUGAGUAACUUAGCUGUAAAAUGUAAAUAUCAUAAGAAAAAACUCAAAUUAACAUUACGCACUCAUGAUUUUUCCCCCCUCAAACACCUGAGGGUGCAAGAACACAUAAAAAGAAACGAGCUCGCUACAGAAUCAUACCUGGAUUGCUUCAUUUUCAAUGCUCAAACUACGUAGGAGUCUCAUCUUGGGGGCUUGGAAUGAAAGCAUUUGAAGUUCUGUUGUUCCAUCCAUUGCAGUCAUGGAACUAUAUUUCUCCUGGUCUCAAAAAAGUUCUUCUUGUGAUAUAUGUAAUCAUAAUAUACAACUAAAAUAAUCGAUUGUUUUCAGCUUCCAAAGAGUUUUGUUUGUUUAUUGAAAUUCAGUGUGCAGCAAUCAGUAAAAGAAUUUCUUUGAAUUUGGCUGAUUACGUAGCAAGAAAUCAAUAAACUGACUAACCACAAGUUUUUCCUUCUGCAGAAACCAGAAGGCACAGCCAUCUGAAACAGAGUGCUGAAAGAACUGAGAAUUGUAGACUCUAGAGGUCAUUGUGUCUGAUACUAGUGUCCUAAUGCUGUGUAAUCCAUGUCAGUAAAUUGGGGAGGGAAUGAGAAACUAUCUUCAACUGUAUGACCAUCAAGGUCCAUAUUUGUGCAAUGACCAACGUUGAGUACAAUUACUAGAGCCAAAACAUGCAGGCAAAUCAAAACGGAAUCUUUUGGCUUAGAUACUAAGCACCCACUCUGUUACAAGCAGCUAAAGAAAGGCAUCGCAUCCCUUGCUCAACUCUUAACUCGCAUUCUUAAACAAAAUUGGAAGAUGCGUAAAACAUGAAAGAAAUUAAGUUUAAAAGGAAAGGGAGAAAAGAGUCUCUAAGCCCUUGGAAACCAAACAAAUGAAACAACGAAAAUGCAGUUUCUCUGUAAUCAAUGGCCGAUAGAAUAUAUGAGAGAUUAAGCCAGACUUUUAAAUUUUUAAUAAUCAAUGGCCGAAGUAUGACAAAUCACAGAAAUAUUUCUAUGGUAUUAUCCCCUCAAUUUCCCAAGUUACAGACCAAAAAAGCCACCAUAAACUCCUAUAUAAUUCAAACACCAAAGCCCAACUUCAUUUCCAACCCUCAAACAAAACUCAAUAAAGAAUCUCAAUACAAACUGAAGAGAAGAGCUCGAUUCAAACAAAACCAACCCAUUUCUGCUUCCCACAAACAAUACAAGAAAAAAGGGAAGCGAGAAAUAAAAUAAUACCUGGAGAGGAGAAGGGACCAAAAGGGUUCGCCGUUUGGUUUCGUCGAGGGCGAAAUGAAUGAACUUCUGGUAAGAAAAGGGACCUGCAGAGGCUUUCAAGACAUGACGAGAUUUACACUUCUUGCUUGUGCAAUUAGGGAUGAUGCUGUUAGUGAUUAAGCUGCGGGUUAGAAACUGAGGUUUUAUUAGUGAAGAAGAUAAGCAAGAGGCUAGUAAAGAAGAACACAAGUCCAUUGAAGUGAAGCUUUCAGUGAAACUCUCAACAUUACCUCACCGUUUUCUUAAAAAAAAAAAAGUACUUGAUAUCUGCUGUUUCUUUUAUUCUUACAUGACAUGUCCGUUCAAGUACUUUACUGCCUUUCUUCCUGCACAUUUUUCAGGCAUUGAAAUCGAUGGUUCCAUUCUCUUAUGUGUGGUCAUAUUUUUCAAAUCUAUCUACCAGGUUCAGAAUAAAUAGGCCUGACUAGCUCGUUGGCCGGUGAUAUGGUAUGGAUCUGAUUAUUAUUUUUUAAUGUAAGAAAAAACAUUUUGGUUAAAUUAAUAUUUUUUUAAUAAAAAAUUAAAUGGUAUGAAAAUUUAACAUGGUUGAUUUAAUGAUUUUAAAAACAAUACGAAAAACCGGUAAAAAUAUAAUUUAAUUAAAAAAUCAUUCAAGACAAUAUGUUUUAAAUUAAAUAUUAAGAUAAUAAUAUAUUGGAUCGACUCAGGUUAACCCGAGUUAAUUUUAUAAAUUCACGACAUAGAUUAUGAGACCAUAAUAAUCAUAUAUAAAACAAAUUAAAAUAAAUUAUAAAUUCUGAAUCAACCCAAUGUUUAAUGAUGAAAUUGAAAAAAAAAUUACUCAAUUUAAAAACAAACAUAAAAAAUAACCGGAUUCAACAUGAGUUAACAAACCAAACUCAUGAAUCGAGUCAUGAGACUGAGAUAACCUCAUAAAAAGUAAAUCAAAAAAUGAUCCGAGUCAACCCGGGUUAACAUGUCAAGCCCGUGAUUGGGAUAAUCUUAUAAAAAAUAAAUCAAUUGAAAAAAAAUUAAUUUAAAAACAAAACACAAUAAAACAAUAUGAGCUUACUUGAAAUAACUUGCAAAACCUGUAACUCAGGUUAUGAGAUUAUGAUAACUUUGUAAAAAACAAACCGAAAUAAAUGACAAAACUUAAUUUUUAAUCACCUCAAUGUUGAAGAUGUUGAAGAAUAAAACUAAAAAAAAUAAAAAAAUAAACUAGAAUCAACUAAGUUAAUCUAUCAAAUUCAUAACAUGAGUUAUAAAACUAAAAUAACUACAUAGAAAAUAAAUCAUAAUAAAUUAUAAAAAUAAACUAAUUUAAUCAUCUAAUUCAUUACUCGAGUUUUGAGCAGGUGAUGGAGCAGGUUAUAUUUAAUAACUUCGGUUGAAUCAGCGUAAGGAUUGGCCUUGAUCUCUUCACCAGAUUCAAACUCUGGCUGUUAGACCUUGUUAGGAAUAUUUUAGUAUCUAUGUUCAUCUCCUGCUGCUGCUGUUGCUCAGCCAAGCCAUGUCAGGUGGUAAGCAGGCAUAAAAGAAAUUGUUAGAAUUGAGAGAAGAAGGGAAGAACACAACUUUCAUUAUAUUUAGAACCCUUUCAUGAUAAACAUACAAUCAUUAAUGCGUUGGGCCUGAAGGACUGCUGGUAAAGACUUCAAACCUAAUUCCACCAGGAUCGAAUCCUCUGGCAUGAGGAUGAAGACUGCUGGUAAAGAUGAUUAUCCAACCAAAACAUAAACCAACUGCUGUACACAUUUUUCUGUUUAUGCUUAGGAAGGUAUUUGUUUUCUAAUCUGGAUUCCACCGAUCUCAGUUAAAUGGAUAUAUUACUGGAGCUUCUUGUCUUUUUGUCUGAUUUCAGAAAUCCUCUUGACGCGGAAUAAUGAAUCCAAAAAAUUAAAGCAGGAAAAAAAAACUUUUAGAGAAAGAAGUUAAGAAUUAAAAGAAAAAGAAAAAGAAAAAAGCUAUAAAAAAUAGAAGAAUAGAGAUUGGAAAAAUAUGUUUCUUUUGUAAUUUUUAUUCAAUUCAUUAAAAAUCCCUUAAAAUUUAGAAAAUUAGUAUAUAAAUACUAAAAUAUUAACUAGAAUAAGCAAUUGGGUUUAUGACCAACUAAAUAAAAUACCCAAUAAUAAUUAAAUUAAACCCAACAAAUAAAAUCUAAUUAAUAAAUUCCAACUAAAAAUUCAUAUAAAUUAAACUAAAAUAUAUUUUAUAAUUCAAUCUCUCAACGGUUUGAAAUACCUUCUAUUGUCUAUGAUUAUACAAGCACAUAAAUGUUUAUAUCUCACGUUCAGUGUCCCCGCCGCCUCUCUUCCUUUUAGUCUGUCUAAUCGCUUUACAUAAUGUUAGUUCCAAGAACCAUUCUCAGCCAGCACCAUUGUUUAAACAUUGCUUGAUGUCCUGCUUUCAGGGCUUAUUUCUUGCUGCCUCUCCUUAGAUCAAGGCUUAACUAGCUGUUAUUGUCCUGGAAAGUUUCGCACUUCAAUUUGAGACUGUUAGAUCGGGGCCAUGGCAGGUUUCCUGCUUCGCCGACGGUCGAAAUAACAUCGCCCCUCCAAGUUGUAAGCUGACUAGCAGUGGGCCUCUUUAGGAAUAGUCUAAAUUAUCUAUCUUAUUUUCAUAUUCACUAGAUAAGCUCCAGUCCAGUAAACAUGAUCCUGUGUUGAAAAUUUGAACUAAGAAGGCCAAGAUUACGGCUGAAAGCUUGCAUUUCAACGAACUGCAUAUUUAAAAUAUGCAGAAGUUUGACUUGGCUGAAAUCUUUGAAUCCUUUCCUCGUCAGUAAUUUUUUUGGAUAAAGACUAGCCUCAGCACUCAUGCAAUUUGCUGUGGGGUGGGAUUACUUUUUAUAUGAAAAAUAUUGUUUAGAUGCCUGUUUAAGAAAAAAAAAUAUGUUUGACUUUGAGCGAUUAAAUCAAAUAAAUUGAUUUUAUUUUAAUUAAAAAAAAAACAAUAAUAUAUUAAUUCAAUUUUAAAAAAGCAAUUAGGAUAACCUUAAGAAAUUUUUUUUUCAAAAGAAUAUAAACAAUGUAUCUUAAUUCACAACCCAUUAAAUAUAAAACAAUAAAACUGGAUAAAAAAAAAAUAUAAAAAACUAAUUAUGAUCGACUAGAGUUAGUAUGAUAAUCAUGUAACCUUGAUAAUCAGGGUUGGGGCAACCUGAGAUAUUUUGCUAACCCACAACCCAUUUCUUGAGAUUAGAUUAACCCGAUAAAAAAAUAAAAAGCAUUAUAAAGCUCUUUUUUUAAAAAAAAAACCUUGUUAGAUUUUUAAACUAGUAACUUGGGUUAUUAGACUCGAAACACUGUAAUUGAAAUAAUCAUGAAGUCCAAUUCUCAAUCAAUCAAAUAUUGAGAAAAAAAAUUUAAUUAUACAGAAGAAUUACAAACAAUAUAAUUAAAAAAACAAGGAUCAAAACCGAAAUACAAAAUAAAAUUUAUAUUUGACUGAAAGGUGAAAUUGAAAAGAAAGAACAAAUUAGUAGAAGGACUCAAAAAAUCAAAAAAAUAAAAAUCAAAAUUGAUAUAAAUAAUAAAAUAAUGUGGUCGCCUUCCAUGUGCCUCUGGCGUCGUUCUUUUAUUUUUUCAAAUACUAAAUCAUCCAUGAACUGACAUGAUAAUAAUGUAAAAACCUUCAUGAAAAGACAAAAAAAACCAUUAAAAGCCCGUUUUAAUUUAUUAACUUUCAAUGACAUUUUAGUUAUUUCACAAUAUUUUUUAGUGUGUUUUAUAUUUAGUCAAAUAUAAAAUUAUUCAUUAUUUUACAUGAUAAUAACAAAAAAAAAAAAUCUGUUUUGAAAAUACUAAAUUGCCCUAAAAAAAUCCGGUAUUGAAUUUUUUGCUUUUAUAAGUAUUUCAGUCUAUUCUGUAUAAUUUUAAAAUAGAAAAAAAUAUACUCACUCCUAACCAAUUUGAUAACAACUGGUUUCAAGUUGUUUUUUUUUUCCACGAGGAAGACAAAAACAUCGUUAUACUGUACAAAUAAAUAGAGUCCGCAUCUACAUCUGCCGCGUUUUUCAAUCCACGAUAAGCUUUUGUUAAUGAGUGAUAGCCUAAUACUCGGAAUUGUUUUAUCUGGCCUGCUCCACUGUUCCCUGUCCACCACACUAUUGCCCACCCUGCCUGUCAUUAUCGCCAUCAAAUAACGAAUACGGACAUGGAAAAUGCAGCUAGACAUAGUUGGCAUCUGUGAAGAAAAAUGGACUCUGUAUUGUAAUAAACAACAACUUAGCAAAAUAUAUUUGCAAGUGGAUGCUGUAUAAUUUAAAUCUGCUACAAACUCCGACAUGACAGGUGAGUAAACCUCAAUUCUAAACCACUAAAAUAACAUGGAUAAGAUUGAUGUGAUGACUUCAAGAACCAGUAAUCCUAGUCAAAGAAAAGAAAUGAAAAAGUUAUGAAUCCCUUGCCCCAGAAAAAGAAAAUCCCGUCAUCUAAGGAACAAAUUGGCAAUCCCUCCUUAUCCAUGCCUAGGAGUUCCCAUGGUUUAAAGUUCUAUUCCACUUCACUGUCACUAAUCUUUUGCAAUCGUCUGGGAAAAGUUUACAAUCCCAGCAACAGAAUUAUAUUAAAAAAUACAUCCCCUCUUGGUAUUUGUAUAUAUACAUUGUUAGAUGUGCAUAUCAAUAAUAAUAAAAUAAUAAUCCAAGUUAUCAACAGUCCAUGAAAGUUUUUGUCCUUGUUCCAUAGACGUAAAAAACCAAAGAUUUUUUUUUAAGAAUUAAACAAAGCUUAUUAGAUAUAUUUGAAUUUGAUUAUUUAUAGAAUAUUGAAUAUUAAUGCAAGCACCUCAGCGGUUGACUUUCAAAAACAGACAACAGAUUUUCUCUUUAUAACUCUACUCUCCUUCCAAUUCCAGUUAGUGUCCUCUCAUGUUCUGAUAGCAAACUUUUGAAGAGAGGGAGAGGGAGAACAGUAGAGAGAACGCGAUGGCAGGAGGGGCGUUUGCUGAUGGAGCAACCCUAAAGAGGGCUCAUCUCUACGAGUAUAAAACCACUGGUUAUUUUAUCUUUUCUUGCCUUGUUGCAGCAAUGGGAGGAUCCCUUUUUGGGUAUGAUCUUGGUGUAUCCGGUUAGUAUCUCUUUCACUUCUUGUGUUUCUUGAUCAGUCUUUAAAGCUUUAGCCUUCUCUUUUAUGUAUAUGGAUCGUGGGUACAAAAUAUCUGUCUUCACUUAUCAGGUCAUUAAGUUUCUGUCCAAACAUUAGUUAAUUAGAUGCCUUUCUCUUAUUAAAACAUGAGCAACUUCACUAUAGAAUAUAACGAAAUUGGUAGUGGUCUUGGCUUAUGGAUUUAUCAUCUUCUGUAUAGUAAUUACUAAGAGCAAUGAAGAACCAAAAAGUCAAACAAUUUGGAGACAAGUUGGUUUAUAGGCACGGCACACUCUACAUCGCUUACCAGUGCCAAUCACUUGCGACUUUUGUGAAGAGCACCACAAAUGAGCCCCAUCAUUUGAUCUUUCUUUUCUUUGCUUCUCUUUUCAAUCUGAUAAUUGCAAGGGAAUUGAAAUAGGCAAAAUGUUUUCUGGAGAAAACUGUUAUGGCAGAUUAUACAUACAUGUACAUGUAUGGUGUUAAGACUUUUCUGGUUAAACGAAAUUGUGCAUGCAGACUGAUGAAACAGAAACUUUAUUGAUGUUAUUAGUACAUGUAUUUUUCAUUUUGAUUAGAAUAUUUGCACGAUAUCCUCUCUCAAGAUCAUAGAAAUUAAUAUCUAGAGAUCAGAAUAUAGGUAGGACCCCAGCUUCACUCUGUUUUGUUGUAUAAAAAAAACUAAGAACAGGUUUCUUUUGGAGGUAACUUUUAACAAACCGUUCACAGUUCAAAGUAGAUUUAAUAUGCUGAUAUAGAAUGUUUGCAUUGCACAUCGGUUCAUGUUCAAGCAAAACCCACUUUACACUCGUUGCAAAAGAAGACGAUAGCUUAACAUGAAAAUGGUUGUUUCAGGUGGAGUGACUUCCAUGGAUGAUUUCUUAAAGAAAUUCUUUCCACAAGUGUAUAGAAGGAAGCAGCAGCAUCUCCAUGAGACCGAUUACUGCAAAUAUGACAACCAGAUACUUACACUAUUUACAUCUUCAUUGUACUUUGGGGCCCUUAUUUUCACAUUUGCAGCAUCCCACUUGACCAGAAGUAAAGGCCGGAAAGCAAGCAUAAUUUGUGGAGCAUUAAGCUUCUUUUUUGGAGCUAUUAUCAAUGCAUUUGCAAUGAAUAUUGCAAUGCUGAUAAUAGGACGAUUGCUUCUUGGGGUAGGCAUUGGAUUCAGCAACCAGGUAUGCUUAAUGCUCCCUAAGCCAAAAAAGUAAUAUAGCAUGCCUCUUAAUUUUCUUACAGCAUUUUUGUUCUAUUGGUACAGGCAGUUCCCUUGUAUCUGUCAGAAAUGGCUCCUGCAAAAUCCCGUGGCCGAUAUAAUCAGCUGUUUCAAUUAACAACCUGCCUGGGGAUCCUUGUGGCAAACCUUGUAAAUUACGGAACUGAAAAAAUCCAUCCAUGGGGUUGGAGGCUAUCUCUUGGUUCAGCUACAAUCCCUGCAAUUUUAAUGGGUGUAGGUGCUCUUUUCCUUCCUGAGACCCCCAACAGCCUUGUAGAACAAGGAAAAUUAGAAGAAGGCAGAAAAGUAUUGGAGAAAGUUAGAGGUACAACUAACGUCGAUGCUGAGUUUGCUGAUCUUAUUGAUGCAAGUAACGAAGCAAAAGCCAUAAAGCACCCUUUCAGGAAUCUUCUUACACGGAAGAAUCGCCCACAAUUGAUAAUAGGCGCUCUGGGAAUCCCAAUGUUUCAGCAGCUCACUGGAAUGAAUUCUAUACUCUUCUAUGCUCCUGUCUUCUUCCAAAGCUUGGGUUUUGGGUCAGGAACUUCUCUUUAUUCAUCUGUCAUUACUAGUGGUGCACUUGUUGUCGGCGCCCUCACGUCAAUGGCAUUAGUAGACAAAUUUGGCAGAAGAACUUUCUUUAUUGAAGCUAGUAUUGAAAUGUUCUGCUACAUGGUAAUUAGAGUAACCGAACAAGCCAAGCCUCAAUCAAUUCUUUAGCAUUUCUCUACGGCUUGAAUACUAACUCAAUUGUUUGAUCUGCAGGUGGCUUUGGCUAUAACUUUGGCCCUGAAGUUUGGACAAGGAGUAACUCUCCCGAAAGCAAUCAGCGUAUUCCUAGUCAUUAUCAUUUGCUUGUUUUGCUUUGCUUAUGGAAGGUCUUGGGGUCCUCUAGGGUGGUUAGUUCCAAGCGAGCUCUUUCCACUGGAGACAAGGUCAGCUGGCCAAAGCAUUGUUGUCUGUGUCAACAUGAUCUUUACAGCUUUGAUAGCACAAUGCUUUCUCGUGUCUCUCUGCCAUAUUCGUUAUGGGAUUUUUUUGAUAUUUGCUGGCUUGGUCGCUUUCAUGGGCACCUUCAUCUUCUUUCUCCUUCCAGAAACAAAGCAAGUUCCAAUAGAGGAGAUAUAUCUUCUCUUCCAAAACCAUUGGUUCUGGAAGAAAAUAGUAGGGGAUGGCACUAAUGAUGAUGGAUUGGAUGGAGAGAAGGGACAACCAAAUUAGAACAAAUCUCCAGAUUCGGGGAAAACUUCUCCUUUUCAAGUUCAUUGUUUAAUUUUCCUUUAGAUUACAUUUCUGUAGAUAAUGUUUGUCUUUGGUUAGGCAUUUCUAUGGAUAAAUAUACAUUAAAUCCUGGCAGUACUUUCUUUGCCAAGCAUUUCCUCUCUCUGUUUAUUUUUUUGGUGGAAUCAAGUUAUUUUUAAAAUUGAAUAUUCCUAUGACUAAUAUCCAAGGAAGGGUUGUUUCCAUUACUUUUGAAUCGAAAUCCAACACUCAAAAAGAACCACACCAGAGAAAGGAAGAAAAGAAGAGACCUCUCGAACUUGUCUCUUGUAUCCAUAGAGAUUCCUCUUUCUUAGACCAUGACUCUUGCAUACGACACCAUAGAUAUUUCCCCAGUUGUAAAAAAAAUGACCCCCCCUUUUAGCUUUUCAUUAACAUUAACAACAAAGUAGUGAUGCAAUCUUCUGUGUUCACAGGAUUGUGCAUAUGCCUGUCUUUAAUUGUUAAAACAAAGAAGAAUACUAUACAAGCUCUGAAAGUCAUCAGAUUCAACUGGACAGUGUAUAUAGUUUGUAUACUUCUCUCCACAUUUCUCAUCGUAGGACAUCAUUGUGAUUGAGGAUUUUUGAAUAGCUCUUUCCACUUUCGCGGAUCACAUCCAGGACCUUCUCCCUGCACAAGUAAUAACUUCGGUUCAAUAAUGAAGCAAUUCCUCAAAUCAUAUGUCCACAAGAGAUGGUUCUAAAGAUAACCAGACAACAAUAUGGCAACACGGAUGAUUUGGAAAGGACUGCAGGAAUACACACAUAUGGAGCGGAAACAAAUUAUACCUUGUCAAAAUUUAGUGAUUCAAUCGUAUCACAGACUAAGAAUGUAUUUGGUAUUGCGGUAGCUAUUGUGAUUUGAAAAAAAUUGUUUUAUAAAAAGUACUUUUAGUUGAGGUUGGUUUGAAAAAAUAGGUGUUUGGUUAAAACUGUGGUUGAAAUUAAGGUUGAAGAAAAAAUAGUUUUAAUGUGUUUGGUUAAAAAAAUACUUUUCAAAUUGAGGUUAUAAAAUAAUUUAAUAUAUAUAUAUAUUAAUGGUUUUUAAUUUAAAUAUUGUAGAUUUAACUAUUGUUAUUACAUCGUGAAAUAAAUUAUACUUUAUAUAAAAAAAAUUUAUUGUUCCAUUAAACUAUCUACAAUUUUAUUACAUACAAAAUUCAUCCGACAAGAACUACAGUUUCGAUGAUUUUUAGAGCGUGCAAUAAAAUUAGAUAAAAUAUUAUCAGGAAUAAAAUUGAGAUGACAGUACGAAUAAAUUUAAUUCAACUUAAACUAAUUUUUUUAUUUAAAAAUAAAAAUUACUAUCACAUUCACGUGAACAAUGCGAGUAAAAUCAAUUAUAUGCACUGAUUUUUCAAAAAAAAAAACUGUUUAAGUGAACAAAAAAACUAAUUUUUUUAUUUUAAUUCACUCGCACUGUUGGAGGGAUGCUGCAUGGUGCAGCCGCGAGAAACAGGUAGGACCUGCUUUCGAUUUCCAUGCGUUUCAAACGCAUAAUUUGAUGGGACCCAUGAAUAGAAACUUAUGUUUUUUUUAACCAAACAUUAUUGUAUCUGCAUUUUAAAUAAAAUGCAAACACAACUUCAUAGACAAACACACUCUAAGUAAUUUAAUUGUCAAAGGUGGUGAAUGUACCUUCAUACAUUCACCGCACAGGAGUAAGGUCACAUCACUUGCCCUAUGGUAGGAGAAAAAAUAUAAAAAAAUAGGUCCUUGAAGUCAUAACGUGUAGCAAUAAAACAACCCGGUAUGCAUCUUAUCAACAUCAUAAUUCGACAGCAGGUUCUAUGGGCACCUAAAAGGGAAAACAAUUUGGACUGAAACUUUUUUCAACCUAUUACUCUAUUGUUCCAUAGAAGUGAAGGAGUAAUUUUCAUUACAAACAUACCUCAACUGAGUUGAUUUCAUAAAUUUCACCUUCGGUAAAUUCUAUGUCCAAUGCCUGAAUGCAAGCUUCAGCGACCACAAUUCUGCUAACUUCUCCAACAAGCUUAUCUCCUGCAAACCCAGAUAAAAAUUCAAUAAAAAGAAGAAUCAUGUGAAAGAGAAGGGAUAUCAGAACUGUUGGAUGCAAACAAGGCAUACAAAACAUAAGAGGUAUUGCCACUUUCAGCAAUGGAAAGAUUGACGUAAUUGUAUCCCAAAAGAUCUUAUUAGAAAAGGAUUCCUUAAUAGAAAAGGAUUAUGUUAUUAUCUAAUUCAUGACGAAGCUUGAGAAAACCAAGGCACCAACCUUUUUCAAAAAGUACCAAAAUGGUAUGAUGAGAAAAGAAUGGAUUUUAUCAUUGGGCAAUGGUCAAGAAAAAACAGUAGAGAAAUAACCCAACAAGAUAGUUUUGAUGCAUAUCAGCCAGUAUCAUUAUCAUGCAUUAAACUCGUAUAAAAAAUUAUUUUAUUAUGUUCAGUUGACCCUAAGGAAUGCAGGUUCAUGAUAGAGUCGUUGUCUCAAAAAGAUGUAGUAUUAAAUUCCAAGCUGCACACUUCAGAUCCCAAAUGAAAAAUGAAAAGAAAAUCCCAAGAUAGCAAUAACACUGAACACCACAAUCCCC